GAGUGGAUCCAGACAGUGAGUGAUUGGCAUCAGUGCAUUGACUGCAACAGGAACAGGUGUUAAAGUGACUUCUCCCAUCCUAUUAAAUAUCCUUUUCAUACAUUGAUUCACAGACUUGUUUCCAUUCUCAUGACUGAAUGGGCAACCCUGUAAUUUGUCGGCUACAUCCAUUUUUUUCCACCUCCUGGCAACAGUUUCGCUUCAGUUUCUGCCAAGAUUCCCUAUUGUCUCCAUAAGUUUCUGCCCAAGUCCGUAUGUCACAUCAUCUGGAAAAUCAAUUCUGCGGCGUUACUCUCCCCAACUAUGACACUGGAAAAUGGCAACAACCAUGAAACGGAUCCCUCCUUGGUUCACCCAGCAUUGGGGAAAUUGCUCAGCAGUGUUACACACCCAGUGUCAAGUACAGCAAAGAAGCCCAGGCAAGGGGACUGACUGUCAGUGGUUUCUUGGUGAUUCAGAGCACACUUUCCCCAAAGCCAAUUUCUGGCUGGUGGGAGUCCUUACUUUUCCUCACGCUGGGGAUUGUUUACCACUGCAAGGAUCAUGAACUCUCUCCAUAAGUGAUGAGAAAACUUAGUGGUAUGGUUUGGAUAAGUGUCCCCCAAAGGCUCAUAUGUUAAGGGUUUUGUCACUAGUCUACGGCAUUAUUGGAAUGAGGUGGUACCCUUAAGAAGUGAUGCUUUGUUGCAGGAAGUUAGAUCACUGGGGGCAUGCUCUUGUAGGGGAUAUAUGAACCCUGAU
rnacentral:lncRNA from 1 species